AUACGGAGGAUCCGAGCGUUAUCCGGAUUUACUGGGCGUAAAGGGUGCGUAGGCGGAAGAUUAAGUCGGCGGUGAAAUUUUGCAGCUCAACUGUAAAAGUGCCUUCGAAACUGGUUUUCUUGAGUGUGGAUGAAGUAGGCGGAAUUCGUGGUGUAGCGGUGAAAUGCUUAGAUAUCACGAAGAACUCCAAUUGCGAAGGCAGCUCACUGGGGUACAACUGACACUGAGGCUCGAAAGUGUGGGUAUC
rnacentral:rRNA from 1 species